rnacentral:tRNA from 1 species
ACCUGGGUGGCUCAGUCGGUUGAGCAUCUGACUUCGGCUCAGGUCAUGAUCUCACGGUUUGUGGGUUUGAGCCCCGUGUCAGGCU